AUACGUAGGGUGCGAGCGUUAAUCGGAAUUACUGGGCGUAAAGCGUGCGCAGGCGGUUUUGUAAGACAGGCGUGAAAUCCCCGGGCUCAACCUGGGAAUGGCGCUUGUGACUGCAAGGCUAGAGUGCGUCAGAGGGGGGUAGAAUUCCACGUGUAGCAGUGAAAUGCGUAGAGAUGUGGAGGAAUACCGAUGGCGAAGGCAGCCCCCUGGGACGAGACUGACGCUCAUGCACGAAAGCGUGGGGAGCAAACAGGAGUAGAAACCCCAGUAGUCC
rnacentral:rRNA from 1 species